GCCUGGCUAGCUCAGUCUGUAGAGCAUGAGACUCUAAAUGUCAGGGUCGUGGGUUUGAGCCCCACUUUGGGCG
rfam:Danio rerio chromosome 4, GRCz11 reference primary assembly.